AAUCGAACCCGGAGAUAGCUGGUUCUCCUCGAAAUAGCUUUAGGGCUAGCCUCGCAUUAGUUUACCGGAGGUAGAGCACUGAAUGGUCUAGGGGGCCUCACCGCCUACCGAAACCUAUCAAACUGCGAAUGCCGGAUAAAUGAUGUGCGGGAGUCAGGCCGCGAGAGAUAAGUUCCGCGGUCAAAAGGGGAACACCCCAGAUCGUCUGCUAAGGUCCCCAAGUACGCGUUAAGUGGGAAAGGAUGUUGGAUUGCACAGACAACCAGGAUGUUGGCUUAGAAGCAGCCACACAUUCAAAGAGUGCGUAAUAGCUCACUGGUCGAGUGAUCCAGCGCCGAAAAUGUAACGGGGCUAAAACGCGACACCGAAGCAGCGGGAUGCGUAAGCAUCGGUAGAGGAGCAUUGUGUGAGGGUUGAAGCCAGAGCGGGAGCACUGGUGGACUUCACAGAAGAGAGAAUGCCGGUAUGAGUAGCGAGACCCAUGCGAGAAACAUGGGCGUCGAAGGCCCAAGGUUUCCUGGGGAAGGUUCAUCCACCCAGGGUAAGUCGGGACCUAAGCCGAGGACUGAGGUCGUAGGCGAUGGACAGCAGGUAGAGAUUCCUGCACCACUUACACUUGUUUGACGAAGCAGUGACACAGAAGGAUAGGACGAGCGCGGUGAUGGUCAACCGCGUAGGCGGCACGAGGCCGGGAAGCAGUGAAGUACACUUCCCGCAAAGGCUGAGUGUUGACAGGACCGAAAAGAAGUAGGGAAGCGUCCGAGUUCACGCUGGCGAGAAAAGCUGCUAAGGAGAGUGUGAGUGCCCGUACCGGAAACCGACGCAGGUGGGCGAGGAGAGAAUCCUGAGACGGACGGGAGAACUCUUGUUAAGGAACUCGGCAAAAUGACCCCGUAACUUCGGGAGAAGGGGUGCCUCGAAAGAGGCCGCAGAGAAUAGUCACAAGCGACUGUUUAGCAAAAACACAGGUAUCUGCGAAAGCGAGAGCUGACGUAUAGGUGCUGACGCCUGCCCGGUGCUGGAAGGUUAAGGGGAAGUGUUAGGGGAAACCCGAAGCAGAGAACCGAAGCCCCAGUAAACGGCGGCCGUAACUAUAACGGUCCUAAGGUAGCGAAAUUCCUUGUCGGGUAAGUUCCGACCCGCACGAAUGGCGUAACGACUUGUGAGCUGUCUCAACAGGAGGCCCGGUGAAAUUGAAGUAUGUGUGAAGAUGCACAUUACCCGCGACUGGACGGAAAGACCCCGUAGAGCUUUACUGUAACCUGACAUUGGAUCUUGAUAACGGAUGCACAGGAUAGGUGGGACGCUGGGAGACGAGGACUUUGGUUUUCGUGGAGCGGCCGUUGGGAUACCACUCUUCUGUUAUUGAGAUUCUAACCUCAAGCCGUGAGCCGGAUGAGAGACAGUGUCAGGCGGACAGUUUGACUGGGGCGGUCGCCUCCGAAAGAGUAACGGAGGCGCCCAAAGGUACCCUCAGAAUGGAUGGAAACCAUUCGAAGAGAGCAAAGUCAGAAGGGUGCUUGACUGCGAGACCAACAAGUCGAGCAGGUACGAAAGUAGGGCUUAGUGAUCCGGCGGUAAGAGAGUGGAAUUGCCGUCGCUCAACGGAUAAAAGCUACCUCGGGGAUAACAGGCUGAUCUCCCCCAAGAGUUCACAUCGACGGGGAGGUUUGGCACCUCGAUGUCGGCUCGUCGCAUCCUGGGGCUGGAGAAGGUCCCAAGGGUCCGGCUGUUCGCCGGUUAAAGCGGCACGCGAGCUGGGUUCAGAACGUCGCGAGACAGUUCGGUCCUCUAUCCUCUGUGGGCGUUGGAAAAUUGAGGGGUUCAGACCUUAGUACGAGAGGACCGGGUCUGACGCACCACUGGUGCAUCGGUUGUACUGUCAAGUGCAUGGCCGAGUAGCUAAGUGCGGACGGGAUAAGCGCUGAAAGCAUCUAAGCGCCAAGCCCAUCCCAAGAUGAGUUUUCCCUAUAGGUUCGUGGAAGACCACCACGUUGAUAGGUCGCAGGUGUAAGUGCAGCAAUGUAUUGAGCCAAGCGAUACUAAUCACCAAUAGACUUCAUC
rnacentral:rRNA from 1 species